rnacentral:rRNA from 1 species
AGCGAACGCUGGCGGCAGGCCUAACACAUGCAAGUCGAACGCACCUUCGGGUGAGUGGCGGACGGGUGAGUAACACGUGGGAACGUACCUUUUGGUUCGGAAUAACGCAGGGAAACUUGUGCUAAUACCGAAUGUGCCCUUCGGGGGUAAAGAUUUAUCGCCAUUAGAGCGGCCCGCGUUAGAUUAGCUAGUUGGUGAGG